GUGAUUGUUAUUCUUGUUAUAUUAUGAUUUAUAAUCAUGUUUGGGGUCAUUGCCAGGGCUAUUUACCCUUAGGUGCGAGAGGGGAAUUUUAGUAUGUGUGUUAAGUGUUGGCAAUGACCUUAUGUUAUACGAUGUUUUAAUAAAGAUGUGGACAAAAUUUUCCAACGUUAAAAUGGUAGUCUGUGUUUUAUUGGAAAAGGGUAUUAAGGUUAAGAUGGGUAUGCUGCAAAAGGCGAC